AAAAUGGCCCUUUUCAGGGCCACAACAUUUUUUGAGGCGACGAAAC
rfam:Dufourea novaeangliae contig291, whole genome shotgun sequence.